GACGAACGCUGGCGGCGUGCUUAACACAUGCAAGUCGAACGGAAAGGCCCUGCUCUUGUGGGGUGCUCGAGUGGCGAACGCGUGUGUAACACGCGAGUAACCCGCCCCUGACUUUGUGAUAACUCCACGAAACUGCGGCUAAUACCGCAUAGGAGCUCUUGCUGCACGGUGGGGGUUGGAGAGUUUCGGUGGUUGGGGAUGGUCUCGCGGCUUAUCAGCUUGUUGGUGGGGUAGUGGCUUACCAAGCCUUUGACGGGUAGCCGGCCUGGGAGGGUGACCGGCGACAUUGGGACUGAGAGACGGACCAGACUGCUACGGGAGGCAGCAGUGGGAAGUAUGGCGCAAUGGGCGGAAGCCUGAUGCGGCAACGCCGCGUGCGGGAUGACGGCCUUCGGGGUAUAAACCGCUUUCGCCGGUAACGAAGCGUGAGUGACGGUAAUGGGUAAAGAAGCACCGGCUAACUACGUG
rnacentral:rRNA from 1 species